AAAGUCGUAACAAGGUUUCCGUAGGUGAACCUGCGGAAGGAUCAUUAACGAAUAACUAUGGUGUCUUGGUUGUAGCUGGCUCCUCGGAGCAAUGUGCACGCCCGCCAUUUUUAUCUUUCCACCUGUGCACCGACUGUAGGUCUGGAUACCUCUCGCCCUUCACGGGGUGGAUGCGAGGAUUGCUCGUAAGGGCUCUCCUCGAAUUUCCAGGCUCUACGUCUUUUUACACACCCCAAUAGUAUGAUGUAGAAUGUAGUCAAUGGGCUUCUUAGCCUAUAAAACACUAUACAACUUUCAGCAACGGAUCUCUUGGCUCUC
rnacentral:misc_RNA from 1 species